rnacentral:lncRNA from 1 species
GCAAGGAUAAAGUAGAUGAGUUGAAGGAGAAGAAAACAUAGCGGAACUGUGGUGAGGGUGAUAUAUGUUGAUCCAGAAUCCCAGAAAUUCAUGUCCUGGAUUAGGAUCAUGGUGGAGAUAUGACUCAUGUGUUGAGUUUGGCCAUGAGACAGGUGCUGACAAUAUCUUUGUAGAUGUUGGGAGAAUGAUCUCAUUUGAAAUGAGAAAUGGAAAAUCCUAAUGGUGUGUCUAAGAUAUCAUAGUGAAGGAUAUUAAUUGUUAGCAUAUCCACAAAAGCAAUGGGUGUUAUUUGACUUUGAUGUAGGGUGUAACAUAUGCAUUGGCUUUGAUGCAAGAUGUAACGCGGGCAUUGGAAGAGAUGCAGGGUGUGACAUGGGCAUUAACUUGGAUGAGUAUGUGACAAAGGUAUUAGUUAGCAUUGACGCAAAGUGUGUGUUAUGGGUAUACUCCUUAUGAUGGAGUAUGAUAGUUCUUUUGAUUUAGGAUUGUCGGAGUAGACAAUGGUGGUAGCGGUUGAGGCUUUCCAAGGAAGCUCCAAGGUUCAGUUUGACUAAGUAUUGAAGAGAACAAUUGUUGGUGAACUUUUGUGUAGACGUUCCAAUGUAUCGAAAGACUUCCUAGCAAUAGGUGGCUAUGUGGCAUGUUCCAUUUGAUAGCAGUACGGAAAGCUGCACUACAAGUUUGGAGAGCUAGGCUCUUAGUAACAUCUUCAAGGAUACUCAGAAGUUCUUUGAUGUAGGGGAGCAUUUAAAGAGAAUUAGGCAUUGAGCAAGGUGAAGUCAUAUAUUCGCUAAGGUAGAAAUUCUUGUGUAGAUUUCUUAAGGAGUAAGAUAUUCAUCUAUUUCAAUCGAGGUGGAGAUUGUUGGGGAUGUUUGAAAUAUGUUAUUAUAUGAAGUCUCACAUUGCAUAGCAUUAUAAUAUAGUAGAAUAUCAAUGUUAUAUAUUGGACUCAGGUCUCUUGUUAUAAUGUGCACCAAAUAUAAGCACUAAAUAGAAAUACAUCAUGGGCAGUUGGGCUCAUGGGUGUGCUAGAGUUUGUAAUUCUUAUUCUCUAAUAAUAUAUUAGUAUUCGCUCACCGUUCCUGGGGACGUAGGCACACUUGACUGAACUCUGUUAACAAAUUCUCUUGUGUCUUCUCUGUACAAACAAUUUGAAUUAGAGACAAUCGAAGUUGAUACUAAAUUAUUU